GCAUACGAGAUAGGCUCCGGUCUCGUGGGCUCGGAGAUGUGUAUAAGAGACAGCUGGAGGGCCGAACCUACUGGUGUUGCAAAACCAGAGGAUGAGCUGUGGUUAGGGGUGAAAGGCUUAACAAAUCUGGAGAUAGCUGGUUCUCCCCGAAAACUAUUGAGGUAGUGCCUUGUAUAUGAGCUUCUGGGGGUAGAGCACUGUUAUAGCUAGGGGGACAUGGCGUCUUACCAAACUAUGGCAAACUCCGAAUACCAGAAAGCUUCGUACAGGAGACAGAGCACCGGGUGCUAACGUCCGGACUCAAAAGGGAAACAACCCAGACCGCCGGCUAAGGUCCCAAAUAACAGCUAAGUGGAAAACGAAGUGGAAAGGCCGUGACAACCAGGAAGUUGGCUUAGAAGCAGCCAUCCUUCAAAGAAAGCGUAAUAGCUCACUGGUCGAGUCCUUCUGCGCGGAAGAUGUAACGGGGCUAAGCUGUUAACCGAAGCCGCGGAUGCACUGGUUAUCCAGUGCGUGGUAGGGGAGCGUUCUGUAAGUCUGCGAAGGCGGUUCGAGAGGACUGCUGGAGAUAUCAGAAGUGCGAAUGCUGACAUGAGUAACGUUAAAGCAGGUGAAAAGCCUGCUCGCCGUAAGCCCAAGGAUUCCUGCUCUACGUUCAUCGGAGCAGGGUGAGUCGGCUCCUAAGGUCAGGCCGAAAGGCGUAGCCGAUGGGAAUCAGGUUAAUAUUCCUGAACCUGCGUCAGAUGCGAUGGGGGGACGGAGCAUGGAAGAUCAUCCGGGUGUUGGAAGUCCCGGUUGUUGAGCGUAGGAGGUCUGCAGGCAAAUCCGCAGACGCAUCUCCAAGGCAAAGACACGUGCCGCCACGGCGGCGAAGUGAUCGGAAGUGCUUCCAAGAAAAGCCUCUAAGCACCAGUCUGAUGCGGACCGUACCGCAAACCGACACUGGUGGGCGAGCUGAAUAUGCUCAGGCGCUUGAGAGAACUCGGGAGAAGGAACUCGGCAAAUUGACACCGUAACUUCGGAAGAAGGUGUGCCGUAGUACCGUGAGAGGAGAGACACCUUGAGCGGGAAACGGUCUCAGAGAAUAGGUGGCUGCGACUGUUUAUUAAAAACACAGCACUCUGCAAAGUCGAAAGACGACGUAUAGGGUGUGAUGCCUGCCCGGUGCUGGAAGAUUAAUUGAUGGGGUGAGAGCCCUUGAUCGAAGUCCCAGUAAACGGCGGCCGUAACUAUAACGGUCCUAAGGUAGCGAAAUUCCUUGUC
rnacentral:rRNA from 1 species